rnacentral:misc_RNA from 1 species
UCACUGCUUGCGCAGGCAGUCUGUCUAGAGUCCCCGGCAUAAUCCGCUGGCAACUAAACAUAGGGGUUGCGCUCGUUGCGGGACUUAACCCAACACCUCACGGCACGAGCUGACGACGGCCAUGCAGCACCUUGCUUUGUGUCCCGAAGGAAAGGCUCAUCUCUGAGCCGGUCACGCGCAUUCUAGCCUAGGUAAGGUUCCUCGCGUAUCAUCGAAUUAAACCACAUGCUCCACCACUUGUGCGGGCCCCCGUCAAUUCCUUUGAGUUUCACCGUUGCCGGCGUACUCCCCAGGUGGGAUACUUAACGCUUUCGCUAAGCCGCGGACCGUAUGUCGCCCACAGCGAGUAUCCAUCGUUUACGGCGUGGACUAC